UACGUAGGAGGCGAGCGUUGUCCGGAUUUAUUGGGCGUAAAGAGCGUGUAGGCGGCCAUACAGGUCAGCUGUGAAAACUCGAGGCUCAACCUCGAGACGUCGGUUGAAACCGUAUGGCUAGAGUCCGGAAGAGGAGAGUGGAAUUCCCGGUGUAGCGGUGAAAUGCGCAGAUAUCGGGAAGAACACCCGUGGCGAAGGCGGCUCUCUGGGACGGUACUGACGCUGAGACGCGAAAGCGUGGGGAGCGAACAGG
rnacentral:rRNA from 1 species